UACGUAGGGUGCGAGCGUUAAUCGGAAUUACUGGGCGUAAAGCGUGCGCAGGCGGUUUUGUAAGCCAGAUGUGAAAUCCCCCGGGCUUAACCUGGGAAUGGCAUUUGGGACUGCAAGGCUCGAGUGCGGCAGAGGAGACUGGAAUUCCUGGUGUAGCAGUGAAAUGCGUAGAUAUCGUAAGGAAGACCAGUGGCGAAGGCGAGUCUCUGGACAGUUACUGACACUGAGGCACGAAGGCCAGGGGAGCAAACGGG
rnacentral:rRNA from 1 species